GAUGAACGCUGGCGGCGUGCCUAAUACAUGCAAGUCGAGCGAACGGACGAGAAGCUUGCUUCUCUGAUGUUAGCGGCGGACGGGUGAGUAACACGUGGAUAACCUACCUAUAAGACUGGGAUAACUUCGGGAAACCGUAGCUAAUACCGGAUAAUAUUUUGAACCGCAUGGUUCAAAAGUGAAAGACGGUCUUGCUGUCACUUAUAGAUGGAUCCGCGCUGCAUUAGCUAGUUGGUAAGGUAACGGCUUACCAAGGCAACGAUGCAUAGCCGACCUGAGAGGGUGAUCGGCCACACUGGAACUGAGACAAGGUCCAGACUCCUACGGGAGGCAGCAGUAGGGAAUCUUCCGCAAUGGGCGAAAGCCUGACGGAGCAACGCCGAGUGAGUGAUGAAGGUCUUCGGAUCAUAAAACUCUGUUAUUAGGGAAGAACAUAUGUGUAAGUAACUGUGCACAUCUUGACGGUACCUAAUCAGAAAGCCACGGCUAACUACGUG
rnacentral:rRNA from 1 species